AUUGAACGCUAGCGGGAUGCUUUACACAUGCAAGUCGAACGAGUGGCGGACGGGUGAGCAAUAUAUCGGAACGUGCCCAGUAGCGGGGGAUAACUACUGGAAAGAGUUGCUAAUACCGCAUACAAGAGGAUCGGCCGAUAUCGGAUUAGCUAGUUGGUGGGGUAAAGGCUCACCAAGGCGACGAUCCGUAACUGGUUUGAGAGGACGACCAGCCACACUGGAACUGAGACACGGUCCAGACUCCUACGUGAGGCAGCAGUGGGGAAUAUUGGACAAUGGGCGAAACCCUGAUCCAGCCAUGCCGCGUGUAUGAGAAGGCCUUCGGGUUGUAAAGUACUUUAAGCUGGGAGGCGUUAUCAGCAGAAUAAGCACCGGCUAACUACGUGCCAGCAGCCGCGGUAAUUC
rnacentral:rRNA from 1 species